AGAGGCUUAGGAUAGUAUUAAGACCAAGGGCCUUCAAAGCCCUAAGCGGGAGUGAAAGCCCCCCAGCCUCUG
rnacentral:tRNA from 1 species